rnacentral:rRNA from 1 species
AUGGCGCAGCUACACAUGCAGUCGAGCGGUAACAGGGGUAGCUUGCUACCCGCUGACGAGCGGCGGACGGGUGAGUAAUGCAUAGGAAUCUGCCCGAUAGUGGGGGAUAACCUGGGGAAACCCAGGCUAAUACCGCAUACGUCCUACGGGAGAAAGGGGGCUCCGGCUCCCGCUAUUGGAUGAGCCUAUGUCGGAUUAGCUAGUUGGUGAGGUAAUGGCUCACCAAGGCAACGAUCCGUAGCUGGUCUGAGAGGAUGAUCAGCCACAUCGGGACUGAGACACGGCCCGAACUCCUACGGGAGGCAGCAGUGGGGAAUAUUGGACAAUGGGCGAAAGCCUGAUCCAGCCAUGCCGCGUGUGUGAAGAAGGCCCUCGGGUUGUAAAGCACUUUCAGCGAGGAAGAACGCCUAGUGGUUAAUACCCAUUAGGAAAGACAUCACUCGCAGAAGAAGCACCGGCUAACUCCGUGCCAGCAGCCGCGGUAAUACGGAGGGUGCAAGCGUUAAUCGGAAUUACUGGGCGUAAAGCGCGCGUAGGUGGCUUGAUAAGCCGGUUGUGAAAGCCCCGGGCUCAACCUGGGAACGGCAUCCGGAACUGUCAAGCUAGAGUGCAGGAGAGGAAGGUAGAAUUCCCGGUGUAGCGGUGAAAUGCGUAGAGAUCGGGAGGAAUACCAGUGGCGAAGGCGGCCUUCUGGACUGACACUGACACUGAGGUGCGAAAGCGUGGGUAGCAAACAGGAUUAGAUACCCUGGUAGUCCACGCCGUAAACGAUGUCGACCAGCCGUUGGGUGCCUAGCGCACUUUGUGGCGAAGUUAACGCGAUAAGUCGACCGCCUGGGGAGUACGGCCGCAAGGUUAAAACUCAAAUGAAUUGACGGGGGCCCGCACAAGCGGUGGAGCAUGUGGUUUAAUUCGAUGCAACGCGAAGAACCUUACCUACUCUUGACAUCCUGCGAACUUGUGAGAGAUCACUUGG